rnacentral:rRNA from 1 species
AUUGAACGCUGGCAGCAGGCCUAACACAUGCAAGUCGAGCGGAGCGGCGGACGGGUGAGUAAUGCCUAGGAAUCUGCCUGGUAGUGGGGGAUAACGUCCGGAAACGGGCGCUAAUACCGCAUACUAUCAGAUGAGCCUAGGUCGGAUUAGCUAGUUGGUGGGGUAAAGGCCUACCAAGGCGACGAUCCGUAACUGGUCUGAGAGGAUGAUCAGUUAAACUGUAAUGGAGACACGGUCCAGAUGCCGACGGGAGGCAGCAGUGGGGAAUAUUGCACAAUGGGCGCAAGCCUGAUGCAGCCAUGCCGCGUGUGUGAAGAAGGCCUUCGGGUUGUAAAGCACUUUCAGCGAGGAGGCGUUACUCGCAGAAGAAGCACCGGCUAACUCCGUGCCAGCCGCCGCGGUAAUUC